AACGCUGGCGGCGUGCCUAAUACAUGCAAGUCGCGCGAAGUUUGUUUUUUUAAGAGCUUAGCGGCGAACGGGUGAGUAACACGUGGGCAAUCUACCCCUUAGUUUGGAAUAACUUUGGGAAACCGAAGCUAAUACUGAAUAAUCUUGUUCUUCAUAUGGGGGAUGAGUAAAAGGCUUUUUGGUUGCUGGGGGAUGAGCCCGCGGUACAUUAGCCAGUUGGUGGGGUAAUGGCCUACCAAGGCGACGAUGUAUAGCCGACCUGAGAGGGUGACCGGCCACACUGGGACUGAGACACGGCCCAGACUCCUACGGGAGGCAGCAGUAGGGAAUUUUCCGCAAUGGGCGAAAGCCUGACGGAGCAACGCCGCGUGAGAGAAGACGGUUUUCGGAUUGUAAAUCUCUGUUUUUGGGGAAGAAGUAAGUGACGGUACCCAAAGAGGAAGCUCCGGCUAACUACGUGCGAGCAGCCGCGGUAAUACGUAGGGGGCAAGCGUUAUCCGGAAUUAUUGGGCGUAAAGAGCACGUAGGCGGCAGAUUAAGUUGGUUGUAAAAGGCAAUGACGUAACCAUUGUAAGCGACCAAAACUGGUGUACUUGAGUUCAGAAGAGGAGAGUGGAAUUCCCGGUGUAGCGGUGGAAUGCGUAGAGAUCGGGAGGAACACCAGUGGCGAAGGCGCCUCUCCGACCUGUAACUGACGCUGAGGCGCGAAAGCGUGGGGAGCGAACAGGAUUACAUACCCUGGUAGUCCACGCCGUAAAUGAUGGUGCAUGGUUAUAGUCAGCUCGUGUCGUGAGAUGUUGGGUUCAGUCCCGCAACGAGCGCAACCCUUAUUUUUAGUUGCCAGCACUUUGGGUGGGCACUCUAAAGAGACAGCCGGGGAAAGCCGGAGGAAGGUGGGGAUGACGUCAAAUCAUCAUGCCCCUUAUGGCCUGGGCUACACACGUGCUACAAUGGCUGCAACAAAGGGAGGCAAGCCCGCGAGGAGGAGCUAAUCCCAAAAACCAGUCACAGUUCGGAUCCCAGGCCGCAACUCGCCUACGUGAAGUCGGAAUCGCAGAUCAGCAUGCUGCGGUGAAUACGUUCCCGGGCCUUGUACACACUGCCCGUCGCACCACGAGAGUUUGAAACACCCGAAGUCGGUCAGGUAACCGUAAGGAGCUAGCCGCCGAAGGUGGAGCAGAUGAUUAGG
rnacentral:rRNA from 1 species